GAAAAAUAAUAUGACUCUCCAUUAAUCUUUCUUCUGAACUUGUAGCAACUUCCCCUCCUUUCAUUGACCCUUGUCCUGAAGGGUAAAUGAUGGAAAUCGCAAUUCCAUCACUGGCAAACUCCCAGGUGGUUCCUGAAGGUGUAUGGUCGUCUAGUGAACGAGCAUAUUUACUAAACUUCUCUACCACCACAAAGAUAACCGUUUUCCUAAACCAAUUUCGUGUUAUUCAGGACCUACGCUCGGGGAAGAUGAUUGGGAAGGGAAUUGAACGGGAGGGUCUUUUCUACCUCAACCAAGCUAAGAAAACAACGCGCAACCCAUUCUCAGACUUCUAACCUAGACCGAUGGCAUCAACGACCUGGGCACCCCUCCUCAAACAAAGUUUCCCAGCUAUUCCCAGGUUGAGUUUGGCCUUCCAUUUUCGGAGAGUAGACACAGAUAUUUAAGAUCCAUACACGAACAAUGAAUUGUGAAAGGGAGAUCCGGUUUGAUCUUUUGGCUCGGCUUUCUCAGAAUUCAACAGGGGCUCAUUCAGGUGACCGGGCGGUGGAAACUUGGUUAAAAUCUGAGGUUGCAGCCAUGGUGCUAUCAUCUGUGUGGUGUGUGUGUGCGCGUGAAUAGUAUAGUAUAUCUCUUGCUGGUUCUUUCUUUGACGAAAACAUAUCGGAUUCUCCCUAUCCUCCAUUUUCAUUGUCGCUUCAAAAUGUAUUUUUUUUUAAAUAUACAUGAAAAUAAUAUUUUUUUUA